GUCUAAGGCCAUGCCACCCUGAACAAGCCUGAUCCUGUCUGAUCUUGGAAACUAGGCAGCUACGGCCUGGUUAGUACUUGGAUGGGAGACCACCUAGGAAGACCAGGUGCCACAGGCG
rnacentral:rRNA from 1 species